rnacentral:hammerhead_ribozyme from 1 species
GUCCUGAUGAAUCUCAAAUAGGACGAAACGCGUGUCCUGGAU